UUAAGAAGACACUAAAACAAGCCAUCUUCCUCAGCACUCUUCAUUCUCGUCUAACCCUAGAUUAUCAUCCUCUGAGUUUCUAUCACUGAAGAUCAUCGGCGACGGACUUCAAUCCAAGCUUUCUGUCAUCAAUCAACGUAUACCAAGACUCUAAUCGACGGUAAAUAAAUCAACGAAGAUGUGGGUGAUGUCGCCGCCGCCACUGCUAUACACUAGGUUGUUGAUGGGGUGAUAUUGAAUGUGUAAAAUUGCUUUUGAGCGACAAUGCCAACGUGAAAAGGAAAAGCAUAUGGAGUCUACUCUCAUGAGUCGUGACCAAAUCCUCAACAAAAGCUGAGGAGCUUAUAGAACUGGUACUGUAGGUUGUAUCGACCGCGAAGGGAGAAGCACCUGCCGAUGAAUAUGGCAUAAAAUUCUUUGAAACUCAAAGGAUAUCAAGCAAAGGCUUUCAGAGAUCGACACAAAGGCUGAGGUAUGAUAUCAAAGUUGCAUCACAUAUACCAAAGAAGAUGAUUUGGAACUUAAAAAAGGUUAUGACCGAUUGAGAGGCAAAGUUUCGUAUGGUUGAAAAGGUUAUAUAGAAAGAAGCGAAAGAGCACAAGACCAUAUCUUAUUGACCUAAUGUACUAGAACCAAAUACAAAUUUCCAGUCUCAUACUAAUUGACUCGCCUUCGUUGGAUAGCAAGCGUGGGAGAUUGUCAGAAUCAAGGGCAUCAUCCGGCCACCAAACAAGGAAAAGUUUAACGAUGUCUACAUCGUUUAUGAAUUAAUGGAUACCGACUUACAUCAAAUCAUUCGUUUGUCUCAAAACAUUACUAUUUUAAAUUACUUGGUUUCAUGCUUUUUUUAAUUUU
rnacentral:lncRNA from 1 species